rnacentral:rRNA from 1 species
AUUGAACGCUGGCGGCAUGCCUAACACAUGCAAGUCGAACGGCAGCAUAGUAUGUACUUGUACAUAUGGGUGGCGAGUGGCGAACGGGUGAGUAAUGCGCAGGAAUAUACCUUAAAGAGGGGGAUAACUUGGGGAAACACAAGCUAAUACCGCAUGUACUCUAAGGAGUGAAGCUGGGGACCUUCGGGCCUGGCGCUUUAAGAAUAGCCUGCGUCCGAUUAGCUAGUUGGUGGGGUAAAGGCCUACCAAGGCGACGAUCGGUAGCUGGUCUGAGAGGAUGGACAGCCACACUGGGACUGAGACGCGGCCCAGACUCCUACGGGAGGCAGCAGUGGGGAAUAUUGCGCAAUGGACGAAAGUCUGACGCAGCGACGCCGCGUGUGGGAUGACGGUCUUCGGAUUGUAAACCACUGUCGGGAGGGACGAAUACGCCGCAAGGUGGGUGACGGUACCUCCAAAGGAAGCACCGGCUAACUCCGUGCCAGCCGCCGCCGUAA